rnacentral:rRNA from 1 species
CCUACGGGAGGCAGCAGUGGGGAAUUUUGGACAAUGGGCGAAAGCCUGAUCCAGCAAUGCCGCGUGAGUGAAGAAGGCCUUCGGGUUGUAAAGCUCUUUUGUCAGGGAAGAAACGGUGAGAGCUAAUAUCUCUUGCUAAUGACGGUACCCGAAGAAUAAGCACCGGCUAACUACGUGCCAGCAGCCGCGGUAAUACGUAGGGUGCAAGCGUUAAUCGGAAUUACUGGGCGUAAAGCGUGCGCAGGCGGUUUUGUAAGUCUGUCGUGAAAUCCCCGGGCUCAACCUGGGAAUUGCGAUGGAGACUGCAAGGCUAGAAUCUGGCAGAGGGGGGUAGAAUUCCACGUGUAGCAGUGAGAUGCGUAGAGAUGUGGAGGAACACCGAUGGCGAAGGCAGCCCCCUGGGUCAAGAUUGACGCUCAUGCACGAAAGCGUGGGGAGCAAACAGGAUUAGAUACCCUGGUAGUCCACGCCCUAAACGAUGUCUACUAGUUGUCGGGUUUUAAUAACUUGGUAACGCAGCUAACGCGUGAAGUAGACCGCCUGGGGAGUACGGUCGCAAGNUUAAAACUCAAAUUGAAUUGACCGGNNGAGAGNGCGACGACGACGACGAGGAGGAGG